AAAAAGAAGACAAACAACAACGGUUUUAUAUGGGCAAAUCGUCUUAAAAUGUUUUUAUUAUAAUAAUUAUUCUAAGAUGUAUAAUUCUAAUAUAUUUAUUCUCAAAUUUUGCUUUCUUCAUCAUCCAAAUGGUGAGCAGUGCACUGGGCUGACCACUAGGGGCUUUCUGCCAACUCGUAUUUCUUUGUUGUGAAAAGCGGGAAAGCCAACCUUCGUAGUUGGCACUCAACGUGAUCUCAUUCUCAUUUGGGCGUUGCCGGUGGCUGUGAGGACAGCUGGAGUCCACAGAGAUUGAAAUUAAUGCAGUGCAAGUUCUGCAAAUUCAGCCAUGACGUCGAAGCUGUUCUGGUGAAACACUAUCGACUUCAUCACAGAGGUUCGACCUGGCCUUGCAUCCACAGGGACUGUUUUUGUACUUUCAGAACCAUUAGUGCUUUGAAAUCACAUAUUUCAAGAUUGCACAGGACUGUCCAAAGGCAGGAAAAUCUAUCAUUUCAGUGCUCGUUGUGUGACUACAAAGACAUUUGCUGUAAAAAGAAAGUAUUAACUCAUUUGCACCAUCAUCUUAGACUCAGAGAGACCGUGUCUUGCCCAUUUGUAGGCUGCAGCUUUGCAACCAACCGCCUAAAUAGUUUUACAGGACAUACUUCACGGAAUCAUAAAAGCCAUAAUCUUAGAAAUUUUCUGACACCAGUCAGGGUAGUUAAUGAUUUUCCAUCUGACGACAUAGCCCAGCCAUGUAGUGUUGAUCCGGAAGCUGGAGUGUCAUUGACAUGCAGUCCUAGUUUGGAUUCCACAGAAAACGGUCGACCUGAUUGUGCGCAGAAUGUAGACUCUGAAAUACUUCAGCACAAAUUAGCUUCCCUUUUUCUACGCAUGCAAUGCGUACUACAUGUGCCAAAACAUGCAAUACAGGCAAUUAUAGAUGAAUUUAGUGAUAUUUUGUCCUUUUCCAAGUUUCACACAACUAAAAUUCUCAAAGACGUUUUAGCAAAACACAAUAUUGAAGUUGAGGAAGAUGUUAUUCAAGAGAUAAGUAGCACUGUGUUUGAAAAAAAUCCAGUACUUGUUACAACAGCAGAAAAAGGUGCAUUAUCAACAGAUUAUAGAAGGAACAGAUAUUUCAAGGAACAUUUCUCCAUCAUUGAACCAACUGAGUUAUUGUAUGACCGGACUUCAAAAAAAGCAUUUGUUUAUGUUUCUGUGAAUGAGGUUAUUGAGCUUUUGUUGAACAGAGGAGAGUUUCUUGAAAAACUUGUUUUCAGUGAAGAGUCUACUCCAGGGAUUUACAAGACUUUCCAAGAUGGUUCUUACUUUCAGCAAAAUUUUGGAGAAAAUGAGCUACAUAUUGCAUUGGGAUUAUAUAUAGAUGAUUUUGAAUUGUGUAACCCAUUAGGCACAUCGAAGAAAAUCCACAAAAUCACUGCUGUUUAUUGGGUUAUUCUUAAUCUGCCCUCAAAGUUUCGUUCCACUUUACACUCCAUUCAUUUAGCUCUUCUUGGAAAGACUUGUGAUGUCAAACAGUUUGGUUUUGAAAAAUUUUUUAAUCCUUUAGUUAAGGACUUAAAGUCACUGGAACAAACAGGGGUCUUUGUGCAAACUUUGGACAACUAUGUAAAAGGAUCAGUAUUUUGUGUCUGUGCAGAUAAUUUAGGAGCUCAUGGACUGGCCGGCUUUCAGGAAAGUUUCAAUGUAAAGAAUUUCUGUAGAUUUUGUUUGACAAAUCGAGGUGAAAUAGCAACUACAGCAAUUUCUGAUUUUCAGCUACGCUACAGAGAACAGCAUGAUACAUUUCUGCUACAACUUUGUCAAGAAAAUGUUCCACAUGUGAAUGGUGUUAAAAGUGAAUGUGUGUUAAGUAAGCAUCUGUCAAAUUUUCACCCUGUCACGGGUUUUCCUCCAGACAUAUUGCAUGAUUUUUUUGAAGGUGUCAUUCCUGUUGAACUGUCUCUGUGUUUGAAAGAGUUAAUUUUGAAAGGCUUUUUUUCUUUAGAGAGACUAAAUAGCCUUAUCAAUUCAUUCCCUUACAAAUAUUCUGACAGGUUAAAUAAACCAAAGGCAAUUUCUAAAGCAAAUUUUGAAAAGGGCAGCAUAGGUGGCAAUGGCCAUGAGAAUUGGUCUCUCUUACGAUUCCUCCCUCUUCUCAUCGGAAAGAGCGUCCCAGAACAAGAACCCGCAUGGGAAAUACUGAUGGACCUUAAAGAAAUUGUUGAAAUUGUUGUCAGACCUGUUUUGUCAGAGGAAAUAUUGAACUACUUGGAGAUCAAGUUGUCUGAUCACAGAAGCCUGCUCACAGCCACUUUUCCUGCUUUUAGCCUGCGUCCAAAGCAUCACUUUGCUGAACAUUAUCCUUACCUACUACGAUGCUUUGGUCCAUUAGUGGAAUUAUGGACAAUGAGGUUUGAAUCGAAACAUAGCUUUUUCAAGAAGACUAUGCAUGAUGCUCAAAACUUUAAAAAUGUGCUCCUCACACUGUCCACAAAACACCAGCAGAUGAUGGCCUGCUUGUUUGAUAGUCAGAGUCUGUUCAAGUCAAUGUUACAUGUGGAGAAAGUAGCUGACAUCAAAACAUCUUCUUUGGAUGCUCCCCUGCGCGCAGUGAUUAAGAGACACUAUCCACAUCUUGAGGCUGUGUCCCUUUCCAAAGACAUUUAUUUUCAUGGGACCCGAUAUGUUGUGGAUAUGAUUCUGUCAUCUGGGCACUGCAGUGGACUGCCAGAGUUCUAUAAGAUCGUGACCAUAAUUGUUAACCCAGAAAAAGCAGCCUUUGUUGUCAAAAAGCUCACAUCUUGGUACCUUGAACAUUUUAGGUCUUAUGAGCUUAUGGAGAGCAUCUAUGCAAACAUUGAGAUUUUUGAUCCUCAGGCUCUUAACGACUACCAUCCAUUGGUUUCCUACACUGUGGGAGGCAGGGUGUUGGUGACUCCAAAAGUGUGCCUGCUCCAUUGAAGUGACAAGAAUGGCGGGGAUUCUGCUGCUGGUGAAAAUCUCCACAAGAAUGUCCCGCAAAAUGGCACUUCCUGUUGUACCGGAAUCAGUUGAAGAGCUGCAAGAAAUUCUUCAGGAGAAACUUCAACUUCAAGGCAGCUUCACACUACAGUAUGAGGACCGAGACUUUGAUAAUGCUCUCUGUAAUUUGAUUGACAUUCAUGAUUUGCCACCUGAGCGUGCUGUAUUGCACAUUCUUUGGGAUGAGACAGCUCCACUUGUCCGGCAAGAUUUGGACUCUCUUGAAUCAGGAUCUUCCCUUGACACAGCCAGUGUACACAGCGUAAACUCACCUCAAAGUCCCUCAACUUUCAUCAGGCACCAUCUGCGAAGUGUUGCAGAGUGGCCUUCACCUUUUCCCAUCCCGUCCUUCUCCUAUGAUGUGGAGUUGCAGUUGCGCAAAGGCAACGAGGAAUAUGAACGAACCAAGAAAAGUAUCACCUUAACAAGAGACAUGAAGAUCAACAUUUUGGACAGGAUUGCUCAGGCAGUUUUUGAAGUGAAAGCCUAUCCUGAUCAAGAUGAGAUUGAAUCAGUUGCUUCUGCCCUCAUCGAAUCACACCCCUGCCUUCGUGAGCCAAGCAGUGAGAAAGGAUAUGAUGGAUGGAAAAUGAGCAUAAAAUACAAACUGGGCAAUUAUAGGGCCAAGCUGCGUCAGGCAGGCUGUACUGAGGUUAGCAUUAACCACAAAAAACGAAGCUGCAAAGGUGAUGGGGCAAGUCCUUCUCUGAAGAGAGCAAGGCGAGGUGAAAUUAACCACGUUCCCGACCAUCCAGACCACCAUAAUGAUGAUUCCCUGGAGGAUGAAAGACAGGCUCUGGCUGAGAACUUCAACAGAAAGAACAAGAAUGUUGCACUCAUCAGACAAAAGAUGGAGCUGACCUUCUCCUUGAGGCGCAAGGAAAUUAUUGAGCUGGAACCAAUGGUUUCUGAGGUCAUGGAACGGUGGCCGGCUCUGUUUUGCGAGGCAGUGAUUCAGGAAGAAUUUUAUCGGAUCACAAACAGAAACCUUAUUGAGAACUUCAGAACAGCUCUUCAGCAGCACACCGGGAGGCUCCUGAAACUGUAUCGGGCAAGAAGGACUGCUUUUUCCGAUGAGAUGGAUCAACUUCUCAACAGCCUGGAUCAAGAGACAUCUGACAUCACCGCACAUCGCCAGACUGCUGCUUUAAAGGGCCUUCCCUUGUUUCUCCGUGACAGCCAGGAGAAGCUCUUCAGGAACUGUCUCGUCACCCAGCCAGAAGAGGAGCAGACGAAGGGCCUCACGGUGGGAAUCCUUACUUUGCUGGAGGAUGAUGACAGGCCAGCACCCCAAAGUGUCGUGAGUGUGGCUCUUGUUGUGGAAGAGGAGAUCGUCCUGCAAGAUAUUUCUGACCUGCCAGCAGCAUUUGCUUUACUCUUUGGACUGAUCUACGCUUUGAACCUCAAGUAUCCAAAGGAUUUGAGGUAUACAUUUGAAACUGUUCAGAAGGUCUUCAUGGAGCUGGGUACAGACCUUUCAGCAAGGGUCAGAUCCCUGAAGAACAAACUCCUUCAGUGAAUCUACGUUUUCGCUCCCUUCGUUCCAGCCAUGUUCGUUCACUCUGCUAAGGCUCCUCAAAUUCUGUACUUAUGUUUUAUCUCCUGCUCUCCUACAGUUCUUAUAUUUUUUUGGCUUUUAAAUAUGGUGAGCAUUAAGAUUCAAUGUGUGCGUUUUACAAGAUGUUGUGAAAAGAUUUUUAAAGCACUCAGUAACCUUGUUACCAGGUUUUAAAUCGUGCAUCACAGUGCUUUUAUGUAUUUUUGUUGUUAAGUUUACUAUGUGUCACAAGAUGACAGCAGUUGGGUCUCAGUAGUCUUAAUUUCCUUGGAAAGGAAGGGAUGGAGUUGGAAGGGAUUUAUAGUUCUAUUUUCUGAAUAAAACAAAUGUUUUGAACUGAUA